GUCCGAGUGCUGAAAAUGGUAGACAGGAUAAGCUUAAGUUUUAUUGAUAGAAUCGUGUGGGUUCAAAUCCCUCCUCGGAUA
rnacentral:tRNA from 1 species